UGGCAUAGUGGCUAAGAGCUUCGGCUGCUAACCGAAAGGAUGGUGGUUCAAAUCCACC
rnacentral:tRNA from 1 species